rnacentral:rRNA from 1 species
AUGAGAAGCCAAGGUGUUAUGCCAAGCGUUGUUACCUACAACUCACUCAUGGACUACCUUUGCAAGCAUGGAAGAAUCAAAGAAGCUGAGGAAAUAUUUUAUUCCAUGGCCGUGAAUGGCCGAAGACCAGAUAUAGUCUCAUACUCUAUUAUGCUCCAUGGGUACGCUAUAGAAGGAUCCCUUGUUGAAAUGAUUGAUCUCUGUGAGCUGAUGGCAAGAGAUGGAGUUGUACCCGACCUCCGUUGUUUCAACAUACUGAUUAAUGCAUAUGCUAAGUAUGGUAGGAUGGAUGUGGCCAUGCUUUUCUUUGAAGACAUGUUGAAGCAGGGUGUGAAGCCUAAUGAAUUCACUUAUUUAACUGUGAUAUCUGCAUUUUGCAAGAUGGGCAGGAUGGAUGAUGCGAUGGAAAAAUUCAGUGAGAUGAUUGAUAUCGGAGUACCACUUGACACAGAAGUUUACAUGUGCAUGGUUGAGGGUUAUUUCAAUCAUGGUGAUUCCAUGAAAGCCGAGGAAUUUAUUACCAGAAUGAAGAACAAGGAUAUUAAUCAUAAGCCGUGGGAAGGUAAUCGAUGA